rnacentral:rRNA from 1 species
UACGUAGGGUGCGAGCGUUAAUCGGAAUUACUGGGCGUAAAGGGUGCGCAGGCGGUUCUGCAAGUCAGGCGUGAAAGCCCCGAGCUUAACUUGGGAAUGGCGCUUGUGACUGGUAGGCUGGAGUGUGGCAGAGGGAGGUGGAAUUCCACGUGUAGCAGUGAAAUGCGUAGAGAUGUGGAGGAACACCGAUGGCGAAGGCAGCCUCCUGGGCCAGCACUGACGCUCAUGCACGAAAGCGUGGGGAGCAAACAGG